AGGACGAACGCUGGCGGCGUGCUUAACACAUGCAAGUCGAGCGGAAAGGCCCUUCGGGGUACUCGAGCGGCGAACGGGUGAGUAACACGUGAGCAACCUGCCCUUAGCUCCGGGAUAGCUCCGGGAAACCGGAAUUAAUACCGGAUACGACCACGGCCGACAUCUGCUGUGGUGGAAAGGAUUCCGGCUAAGGAUGGGCUCGCGGCCUAUCAGCUAGUUGGUGGGGUAAUGGCCCACCAAGGCGACGACGGGUAGCCGGCCUGAGAGGGCGACCGGCCACACUGGGACUGAGACACGGCCCAGACUCCUACGGGAGGCAGCAGUGGGAAUAUUGCGCAAUGGGCGAAAGCCUGACGCAGCGACGCCGCGUGGGGGAUGAAGGCCUUCGGGUUGUAAACCCCUUUCAGCAGGGACGAAGCGAAAGUGACGGUACCUGCAGAAGAAGCGCCGGCUAACUACGUGCCAGCAGCCGC
rnacentral:rRNA from 1 species